ACUUGGGGCAGUGGUGUGCACCUGUGGUCCCAGCUCUGUGGGAGGCUGAGUGGGGAGGACUGUUUGAGCCUAGGAGUUCUGGGCUGUAGUGCGCUAUGUCCAUUGGAUGUCCACACUAAAUUCAGCAUCAAUAUGGUGACCUCCUGUGAGCAGAGACUAGCCAGUUGCCUGAGGUGUGCUGAACUAGCCCAAGUUGGAGACAGAGCAGGUUAAAACUCUUGUGCUGAUCAGUAGUGGGAUUGAAUCUGUGACUAGCCACUGCACUCUAGCUGGGCAACAUAGUAAAACCCUGUCUCU
rnacentral:SRP_RNA from 1 species